GGCAUGGAAAGUCAGGAAGUGCCAGCCCUGAUAUCAUCCGUCCAUUGAAUCGAAGCUAGCAGCAGCUUGCCUCCAGACGUCUUAUCAGUGCAGGGUCCUGAAGAGCACUCCCGUGGCCUGUCUGAACAGGAAAUAAAAUUGUAGAGACAGUAUGAUCACAUCCAUAUAAAAGCUCAAAUUAAAUGAGUGAACAAACAAAAACCACGGAAGAAAAACUUAGCAGAAUAUUAAGAGAGUGAAAGUGCAAGUGCAUGAACACGGGAAGGGGCAGAGGGAGAGAAUCUUCAAGCAGACUUCCCGCCAAGUGCAGAGCACAACCCAGGAUUUGAUCUCAUGACCCCGAGACUACAAUAUGAGCUGAAACCAAGAGUCUGAUGCUUAACCAACUGA